GUGAAGAUUUAUGGCACAUUCACCAUGGGUAAAGAUCCAUGACACACUCACCACGGUCCUUUAUUUUUAUAGAUACAGUUGGCAACAAUAAUAAAAAGAUAACUAACAAAAGCAAGUAUUUAUUUCUAUCCCUUCAUUGAAUUACUCAGUGUUUACAACAAUAGAAUAGGAAAACAGAACUUAAUGUGUCAGCACCGAGUGAGUGGGCAGAUAGUUACAGCAAUAGAACAGGA